AUGUUUACGUUUUACCAAGACUCGCGGAAGAGGAAGGCGAUUGAUAAUGGGCCCGGGAUGUUCGAUAAAGACUUGGUUGUAGUGGAGAACUUCGUGCCCAGCAAGAGAAUUGAGGAUUAUGCGUUCAACAAUAUCCCGAUCUGGGUGAGGGUGUAUAACCUGCCGCUGGGUAUGAUGAAUGUGGAGUUGACGGAGGAUAUUGGCAAUAUAAUCGGGCAAUUUGUGGAGGCAGACACUGAGGCGGAUGGCACUGCUAUUGGGAAGUUUUUGAGGAUCAAGAUUAGGAUGAGAAUUUAUAAGCCGCUGAUGAGGGGGUUUACGUUGGAAGGAGAGGAGGAGGAAGCUGGUAAAGGAAAGAUGAAGGAGAAGGACGGAGGCGGUGGGGAAGAGGAGGAGAAUGGGUGGUGCCGGUUUGAGUAUGCGUUUUUUCUGGAUUUCUGCUAUACCUGCGGGAUCAUAGGCCAUGGUGAGAAGGACUGUUCGACUAUCCUGGAGAAAGGGGGGAAAUCACAAUUUGGGAGGUGGCUUAAAGCAGACAUGGAUCAGCGGCGGAGCUCCCAUGAUAAUGGAGGAUGGAGGACUAGGGGUAGGGGGUCGGGAGACAGCAGGAGCCAUGGUUUUAGCAGAUCGGCGGGGAGGUCCGGGAGUGGUAGUGACAGUCUUUCUUCGCGCAAGGAAGGAUCAUGUGACUCAGGCUCCAAAGGGCGGGUAGAGGAGAAGGGAGAGGAGGUAACGAGCCCAGCAAAGACUAACAAGACUGAUCGGAGGGCUGGCACACCGCGGCAGCUCAAACUGGGGGAUAGUGCCAUGGAGAUGGCGAGGACAGUAUGA
rnacentral:rRNA from 1 species